rfam:Glossina austeni unplaced genomic scaffold Scaffold277, whole genome shotgun sequence.
CGAGUGGCUUUGCAGGACAAGCUAACUGAUAAGCUUUGACUGUAUCCUAAUAUUCCCAAGUGAAUUUUCUCGGGAAAAUUUACCUGGUAAGCGUAUAAGAGAGAUUGAUAGCUCUUUCUCGAAUCUAUGGGUGAUGGUGCAUGAUCGUUCAUAGUUCGCGGACUAAUUUGCCUGAACGAAACUCAAAGUCGAUGCUUUCAGGAACAUGGUGUUGAAGCUUUUAUGGCCUUCAUUUACGAGCAUAGUAGGAUGUGUGAGUAUGUGAAUGUGUGAAUGUGUGAAUGUGUUUGUAAAAUUGGAGCUGUAUCUGUUAGUUUGUCCUUUUAAAGGGCAAUAGCUUCUUAAGCAGACAAAUUGCGUUUAGAUUCAGGAAUAACAGGUCUGUGAGGCCGCUAGAUGUCCUGGGCUACACGCGCUCUACCAUGAAAGUAUCAACGUGUAUCUCCUAGACCGGAAGGUCCGGGUAAGCCGUUGCAACGCUUUCAUGCUUGAGAUUGUAAAUUGCAACCUUUCACAUGAACUUGGAAUGAAUUCCCAGUAAGCAUGAGUCAUUAAUUCGCAUUGAUUAC